CUUGAGGAAAAUAUCUAUCGUGUUUGAUAUUUUUCGCCUAAGUACUGAGCUGUUUGAAUCAAUUAGCUAAUGACAAACCAUGGUUUCUUCAUGUGACUUGGAACAAAAUGUAUUGUUGAGUAGCUGAGCUAGCUGCCACGCGAGGCGGUUAGCUCAGCAAGUUGUUCUCGUGAGCGGCGGGUUAAGGUCGGUGAUCCCCAUUUAUUUUAUAGCAUGAUUUCUUUUAGUAGGUUGAAUUAUUUUCCUGAUUUUAAAAAAAUUCUGUCAUGCCAAAUUCUUUUUAAAUCGGAAAAUGUAAUAAUUCAUAACAUAUUUUUUUUCGC